GCGCGGCCGCAAAGGCUUCGGAGCGCUGGAGAGAAGGGAAGCAGUGGCCGCUUUCUGCGCGCUCCCGACUCUGCUCGCUCCCUUUCCUCUGGGAGGUGGGGGCUGGGAGGCAUCCCCCGCCCCUGCCUCCUCCCCACCAUGAGCGGAAGGACGAACUGGCAAGAGGUCUGUUUUGCCUGAACCCAUCAACAGCUGGGAUAUUGAUCAACCACAUGGAAAAUGCACAGGGAUUUAUGGAUUUAUGGAGGAGGAGGGGAUCAGAAUGUAGAUGUUUAAAACAAAUGUGUAUAAAUAAAUGAAUUGUUGGUAACUUAGUUAUUGACCUGAA